rnacentral:rRNA from 1 species
UCUAGAAAAACCAAAGCAUGUCCUUCUCUCUAACGGCACUACGGAUACACUAUCUGCACCGCCCAGAUGAGACAAACAAUGUCACUUCUCCGGCAGUAAACGUCAGUGCCCUGUUAACUAUGGCUCUAACUACUAUCCUGACGUCCCGGAGUAGUUCUUAAUGCAUUACUGGUUUAGCGAACCUGUAGACGUCACGUUAAACUCAAACAUGAAACAUCUGGUGUGUAUCCCCAUGGCCGGGCAAGAGGUGAUCAAAAGUUCUCGUGGAACGUGAAUUUUACCCCCUACCUUAACAGGACCUCGCGUAUGAGAGGCCUAGACUCUUUGGUUGGUUAGACCGUAAUCGUGAAAAUGUCCUCUAAUGUCUUUUAAAGAGACUUUACUCUUUUUAACCGCUCCCGCCUAAACCCCACCAAAUGUUCCCACACGAGGUGUCAUCCUAACAACGGCACUUCUCCUAUUAAUACUCACUUGUGUGUUAGUUGCUGUCCAAUAAACUAGCACUCCAAUUUUCGAACUACUUCUAAUAAUCGGUAGCUUUACAUCAGGCGAAAGAACCGAAAACAAGUUUAUGUGUAGCACUUCGCUAUUUUCUCCGUCCUAGUUGUCUUAACCAAUACCGGGUCUAUUCUCUUUCUAAUGAAACAAAACUCAUAUAGUCGUUACCUUCGGAACUAUUUGUAUAAUGUCCCCUAUGACACGAGGUCUUAUGCACUUACCACCGUUCUGCAGUUUUUUCCGACUGUACAUAUCAAACCCACAAUAUUAGUGCCUUGACCAUUGCCCUACAUCCCCACUAGGUUUAUUACAAUUACACGAAGCUUCCACCUAUGUGUCCACCCUAUUUAGUGGCUUUCUAUGCCACGACAGGGUUAUGGUCGUUCAUUGAUUUACAAACUUUUAACGCCGUGUGACGUCCUUUUUUCUUGGUAGUUUAUCUGGAAAAUAUAACCUAUAUUAAACAUAAGAGUUACUUUGACUUCUUUUGUACUUACUCGUGUAACUGGUCUAUGUGGAAAUGAGCCUACUGUACGAACCUUAAUACGGCGAGCUUGAUGCCAAAGGAAAACUCGAAGUAUUCAGUUAUAGUAGGUAUCAACUCGAUUAGUUGUUCUGUUUUCCAAUGAUGCGGAAGUUGUAGCUAUGCGGUUCGGCUGUUAUGACGUGUGUUGGUUUGUUUCCGUAACACAGUGGUGUUAGGUUCAAACGAUAGGUUUAUUGUUACGUUCGUGCCCUCUUAUGUGGUGUGCCAUACGGUAUGUGGCUGCACAAAGAACACGUCUCGUGUUUUCAGUUGUCCCUCCAGUUUCGGCUCCUAUAGUGACUUGUGUACAAGUAAUAUCUCGGCCUACCUGAUCUACUCCACUUAAACUGCCAACACCAUAUACUAGGGCUCCUUGGAUCCCCUCUAUACUUCUAAGCUCUACUGUGGUUCUUCUUUUUCUUAUUCUAACAACUCAUACGAAAAUCGCUCUAGUUUGGGUUGUAGUUACGUUGAGUAGUUCUUCUCCGUCAAGGCUACCCGUUGUUAAGAUAAUCGAUGUUUCUAUGUGCUGCUGUUAAAGGGUUCGUUGAUCUCACGGAAUCGAAGGUGUGUUGAGGUUCAUAAAACCCGUUGGUUGUGUCGUUAUACUCGUUGUCUUAACACCUAGAACGUUGGCCCCGGUACCCGUCGGACGCGGUGUUCGAACCGCUAGAGGAGUUGUUUCUCAUGUUAGAUCUCUAUUCGCACUUCUAUCUGUAUCUCAGAAAUAGUCUUCUCGACUCCCUCUACGUCGAUCGGAACACGUUCCACAGCCUCCAUGUAGCCCUGAUGGAGCUACUGUUCCAGUUCGCGACCCGACUGUCACAGUCCCUCUACAGUAUACUGUAACUCCUACAACAACUACCUAAGGACCAUGUGUAACCCGUACGGAGACUGUACCCGGAGAAGUACCCCGAGUACGUAUCCUACAAGUUGGAGAAGUGCACCCCGUUCUGAGUGUUAGGCUAACUUCUGCGAUAGUUUCUGUAGUUCUUUGUUCAAGUCCAACACCGACUAUCUGCACUUUCUACGUUCCAACUACUUCAGUACCGAUUACAUCGACUGUGAUAAUGGAAACUAGGAGCGUAAAACCGAUAUAUGUUUCUAGGUUUCCUCGAGCAACCGUAGUUUCUCGGUUCUUUGUUCGAUUAGUCCACCGAGAGAUUAUUCCUACCCCUACCCUUACAGAGUUUUGGCGUUGAGUUCUAUCAAAGCUAGCAGCCUAAACCUCCUAACCCGUUCUGUUGUGAACGGUUCCGUCACAUACUGCUCGAAGUUAGGGUUAAGGUUGUAUCUCGAAAACAAAGUCACCCAGCCUUAGGAUUACACUUCUUUGAAAAACUCGUAUAAGAUCUAUUUAAACCGAUACCAAGGUUCCUUCGUUUCAAUUUGCUUUACGUCGAGUAGCUGUUUUACGCUUCUAACGAAGUCUUGCUGUCCAUGAAGUAUCAUUAGCUACUAUAUACCCUAAGGGGCUGCACCUUACAAUAAUUUACACGAAAAUGUUUUCUGCUAACACCGUCAUAACACCAUUGUUGAUGGUCCUAAGUGUUACAACGUGUACUGACAACGUCUGUAUCGUUUCCUAUACAAGUACUCUACCUUGGUGAUUCAGGGGUUCUGAGUUCUUUUGAUGAACAAUCAUCUUAUAAACCAAGGUUUCUUCGAGUAGGAAUACAUGGUCUACUAUAAAGUUCACUAUAAGACUUUUUUACACCACCGAACGGUGAACGAUAAUAGUCAUAUCGUUCGGAAGACCAAGUAUUGGGUUCCAGUUCUACCCUAAGACAUUCCUUAAGAAACCACAGGCACAAACUACCUUUAGUACUACUAGAAUUUUUAUACCUCGUUCAUAACCUAGAAUCGAUGUGCGUAGAUAGAAUGGUAGAAUUCUGUACGGACGAACUAUAACCAUUCAUAGAUCUCCUAUCGCUCUAUUUUUUUCUCCUAAACAACUCCGUCACCUGUCGAGUUCCGAAACACUCAUUUUGAGCAGACGCACUACGUCUCCUACAGCGUCUUCUGAUGAAGAUAUUCGAGUAGUUGUACUCGUACUAGGUUGGGCACCUCUAUCUGAUGUUACUACUCCACAACAGAACGUCUCAUGUACUAUAUUACGAACUAGAGUAAUCUAGGUUCCGACGACUUCUCUUAAAAUUAGAACAAUAACUACCCGGUCUUCAACACUGUCCUCUUGUUUCUUCCCAGGCAGCUCAGAGGUAAGUCAUGUUACCACUUCUGCUACCGCCUUAUGACCGUCGUUAGUUACCCAGUGAUAGUGUACAGGCCAGUCAGAAUGAAAAUUCUCCCAGAGAACACGUAAGAAAAGACCACGACUUCAAAUAGGCUCAAGAAAUGUAAUAUCUAACCUCUACACUCUCUGAUCUAGAGUGGCUAUAAGCAACCAACAAAGAUGAUUCUAUAGACUUCUAAACACAGUCCUUUCUAAACUAGUAUGGAUCAUUUUAACCCCUCAACGUCGUUAACCUCUGUUAUCUUUAAUUUCCCGCUUGUAAAGAAGGUAGUCUAUAACAAUGAAACGGAGCCAACAGUGUAGAGUCAAUAAGUUUAGUACACAACAACGGACUGCUUUAGCCUUCCAACUUUAGAGAAGUGUGGAACGCUCCACAACUAAAGUAAGUUUCGAGCCAUCUUUUAUAGUUCCCGGAACCACUCGACUGUUUGAAUUCCCUUGAACUCUACCGAACCUUUAAACAAUUCCCUCGCCAGUUGUACGCACAACUACGGAACACGAGAAGGUAACCUUUCGAAAGAACGUCAGAGUCCUCGGAAUCAUAACCCAGGUUUACGGAAGUUCUGGAUACCCAGCUACCGACCUCGUCGUGUGAUUGGGGUGGAGCAGCAGAAGUAUUCGAACUAGACAUAUCUACACUUAAGGUUUUUUAGGGGGUUACCUAACGAGUCGAGGUGCUCGAACUGUCAAAUUGAGAAAGGCAGUCCCUCCGACGACUACCACAGUCAUAACAACGUCCCAACGGAAGGGAACGGAUGGAUUCUGAUAUAUAUGCAAGCCAACUGUUUUCCCUUCUUUCCCAUUAGUAGAGGCCGUCCCUUAAGUCUCGUGAGUUCGUGUACUUAAACCUUACAGGUAUAGACAGCGACCAGAAGGUUCACCCCCGAGACGGGUUCGAUCUCUGCGAAAACUACGCUACGGCAAUGGUGUAAAGACGGCUUAAGCAUGGCCAACCGUAACUCUUGAACGGUAGACCGUGAGAAGCACUCUAAGCAAAUCACCACCGACUAACAAAACCUCCAGUACCACUGCUGCUAUUGCCGCUGAUGUUACUGUUUCGUCGACACUCCAGCGUCAACUACUCUAGUAAAACCGGUGUAGUAGGAAGACGAUUGUAGUGGUAACUUAAAGAAAGCCUCAAAUCCAACACUAAAACAGUUUAUCACUUAGAGUGUAGGAAGUUCAGGAACCGGUUUUGAGAAUUCAUCGAUGAGCCUCAAGGCCAGACGUUGACAUUCUUAUAAAAAGAUCUAUAAGCUAUACCGGCUACAUUAUAUAACGAACUAAUAACUAGUUUCUAAAUCGUACUACCAGUGAUUUAUAUUACCUUGUACUAAAAUUAAGAAA